GAAUAUUAGUUUGAAUAUUGAAAAAUAAUGUAUAACAAAUAAUAUAUAACAAAGAAUUAGCUAGAUUAAUUUAAUUACAUUAAAUUAAAUUCAUUAUUUUUUCAAUAAUUUUUCAGAUAUUCUGUCUGUGCCUCCAGUGGUGUGUGUUUCUGUUCUGUGUGGCCCAGAUGUGUGGUGCAGCUCCUUUGUCCAACAAUUCAGGAGAUCAGUGCUUCACUGAGCUCCUCCAGGAGGAGAUGGAAUAAAUCUGAGCCGCACACACUUUGCUUCUUCACCGUGGAAAGGUGCAGACUGGGACCCUAAAGCGAGCCAGUGGCUUCAAGAGGUACAGUUUAUCAUUUUUAAUGGAGAGGAACAGGAAGUGGAGACAUGAAGCUGGGCUUUGUGAUUUAUACACCUCCUCGGUCGGAGGGAGAAAGGAGCAAGUCUAUCUCCCUGUCCACACCCCUGGUCUGCAGCAGCAUUUGCUUGAAUCACAACAAAUGUAAAAAGAAAAAAAGAAAAGAAAAAAAAAAAGACGAACAGAGAAUUUUCCUUCUUAAUUGUAACAUCUGGGAAAUUCUAUCGCCUUAUUCAUAUGUUCUUGAAUUAUUAAUGUUGGCAUUUACUCACCAGUUACUUCACCUGUUCACCUACUCAUUCAUGUAAUUAUCUAUUCAGCCAAUCACAUGACAGAAAGUCAGGGCAUGUAGACAUGGUCCAGACGAGCCGCUGAAGCAAGCAAGAAUUAAGUGAUUAGGAGUGUUGUCUUGUUGGAUCUAGACCUGGUCUGGGUCUGAGUACUCCACCCACUGAUGAUCUAAAGUUUAGAUUCUAAACCAUCAAAAUAAAAUCACAGGAACCUUUUGUGACAACUGAUAACAGUUCUGAUGUGAUUACACUAAUGUGUUAACUUUCUUUAUUCUUUAUCGAUGCUCUUAUUGAUUCUCAUUGGAAAAAAAAAAAAAAAAAAAA